CUACGGGGUGCUGCAGUGAGGAAUUUUGCGCAAUGGGGGAAACCCUGACGCAGCAACGCCGCGUGAGUGAAGAAGGCCCUUGGGUCGUAAAGCUCUGUCAAUGGGGAAGAAGUUAUUAUGUGUUAAUAGCACAUUUUAUUGACGGUACCCAUGAAGGAAGCACCGGCUAACUCCGUGCCAGCAGCCGCGGUAAUACGGGGGGUGCAAGCGUUAUUCGGAAUUAUUGGGCGUAAAGGGCAUGCAGGCGGUCCUGUCAGUCAGAUGUGAAAGCCCGGGGCUCAACCCCGGACGUGCAUUUGAAACAGCAGGACUUGAGUACGGGAGAGGAAAGGGGAAUUCCUGGUGUAGAGGUGAAAUUCGUAGAUAUCAGGAGGAACACCGGUGGCGAAGGCGCCUUUCUGGACCGAUACUGACGCUGAGGUGCGAAGGCGUGGGUAGCGAACGGGAUUAGAUACCCCUGUAGUC
rnacentral:rRNA from 1 species